AUGAGAACCAAAAAAGGUUAACAACCGUAAGAACCAAUUUAUUAUAGCUUAUUUUUGUGUAUUUAACGGUAACACUAAAAAAACACACAUACAAACAUUUAUUUUAAAAAUCAGAUCUAUCUUUUAAAUUUGCUGAUCUUCUCAUACUUUCUCACCAUCUUUGAAGAACACAUAGUCCUUAUAACCAUCAACACCUACCGUCGCCCGCAUCAACGUCGUCGACACUACCGUCGUUGGUAACAACAUCGCUUCUGAAAGAACGCCUUCACCUCUUUCCACCGUUGUUCUACUACAACCUACACUAUUCUUGACGUUUAGAUCUGCGAUUUCCGAUAGUCUUCAAAUCUUCAAUUUCCCAGCAGCCUUCAGAUCUGCGAAUUUCCUAUUAUUGUUGUAGUAGAUCUUCCAGAUCUGUGAUUUUCCGACCAUCACGACCUUCUCCGGCACCUUUCGCUUCUUCUUUACGAUGACUACGACCACCAACAGCUCCUCGUAUCAGAUAUCGCCACCGCCGUCAUCGUCGAUCCACCAUGGUUUCGAUAUGAUCUCUUCCUCUUCCUAUCUUCUUCUGACGAGAUCUGCUACCAUUCUCUUGUUUGUUAGCUAUUAUAGACUGUUUCACCACCAUUUCCAAUAGAUCUCUUCCCCUUUCUCUCCUCCGGCGAGUUCUUAUGUCGUCGUCUCCUUCAUCAGCAGUAACAGAUCGAGAUUUCUAAAUGUAAUAUGAUAAUGUUCUCGUUUUAACUAUCAACAGUCACAAUAGAGUACAAAUCAUAAUGGAGUAUGCGAUGCUCUUCUGUUAACGUCUUCCGACAAGGUGUUCCGGAGACGGUUUAGGCUUCCCGGCGACUUCAACACGAUCAGGUGUACUGUUUGGUCAUGAGUUCCAACAUAUCUAUUCCGACGAGUAUUUUAUGUGAUUUUCAAGGAUUACAGUUGAAAAUAUAACUUUAGAUUUGCAAGAAAUGAGAGGCCGAAGUCAUUGUUCUCCGACGAUGUUAUGGAGACUCAAACAGUUUAAGGUGGUUCGUCGCAGCAUGUAGUGGUAGAGUUUGAGUUUUUGACUUCUUUGAAUUAGUGAAUUAAUUGUUUCUAUUAAGUUGUGAAUUUUUUGCAUUGAACUAUAAAUGGACUGUGUAAAUCUGUAUUUUAUAUAAAUUUUUGUGUUAAAAUAUGAGAGCAUAUACGGAUGAAAAUA